rnacentral:rRNA from 1 species
AGAGUUUGAUCAUGGCUCAGAUUGAACGCUGGCGGUAUGCUUAACACAUGCAAGUCGAACGGAAACGAUACUAGCCUGCUAGUAGGCGUCGAGUGGCGGACGGGUGAGUAACGCGUAGGAAUCUGCCUGAUAGUGGGGGAUAGCCCGAAGAAAUUCGGAUUAAUACCGCAUAAUCUAUUCGUAGUAAAGUGGGGGACUUUCGAGCCUCACGCUAUCAGAUGAGCCUGCGUAAGAUUAGCUAGUUGGUAGGGUAAAAGCCUACCAAGGCAACGAUCUUUAGCUGGUCUGAGAGGAUGAUCAGCCACAUCGGGACUGAGACACGGCCCGAACUCCUACGGGAGGCAGCAGUGGGGAAUAUUGGACAAUGGGGGCAACCCUGAUCCAGCGAUACCGCGUGUGUGAAGAAGGCCUGAGGGUUGUAAAGCACUUUCAAUUGUGAAGAAAAGUUAACGGUUAAUAACCGUUAGCCUUGACGUUAACUUUAGAAGAAGCACCGGCUAACUCCGUGCCAGCAGCCGCGGUAAUACGGAGGGUGCAAGCGUUAAUCGGAAUUACUGGGCGUAAAGCGUGCGUAGGCGGUUUAUUAAGUCAGAUGUGAAAGCCCCGGGCUUAACCUGGGAACUGCAUUUGAAACUGGUCAACUAGAGUAUGGUAGAGGAAAGUGGAAUUUCUGGUGUAGCGGUG